AGUAACAAACGUGCGUCUCCAGUGGCUCGAUCGGCAGUUCCAACCCGCUAACGGCUCUAACUAAUUUCUUAGACCACGCCCCUACAGUUACCACGCAUUUUCUACCGCGGAAUUUUUCACCCCCCGCUGUGAAAACCUCGACCCCACCUGUGCCGCCCUCUUUCUUGAUGUCGAUGACCUUGGUGUUGUCCUUCAAGACGGCGCCGUUUUUGUAGGCUAGGGUUUGGAACAUGGCCACUGCUUUUGUGGGCUUGAUGACGCCUCCGUGCUCGUUGGAGAGGCCCACCCAACCCUCCGGGAUGUCGAUGCGGCCGGAGAAUUUGUCGGCGAGCUCUUGGCGGCCGAGGAGUUUGAAGGGGAUUUGGAGGUUGCGGCAGUAGUCGAUGAGGGCGCGCAUGGCGGGCUCGUUGUGAUGGGCCAUGUCCAUGUGAUGGGCCUUG
rnacentral:lncRNA from 1 species